rnacentral:tRNA from 1 species
GGGCUGUAGCUCAGUUGGGAGAGCGAAUGGUUCGCAAUCAUUAGGUCGAGGGUUCGAUCCCCUUCAGCUCC